rnacentral:misc_RNA from 1 species
CAUCUGUGUCCAAUCUCUACAUC